rnacentral:lncRNA from 1 species
CUCGGUUCUGUACAUUGAGAAAGGUACCUCUACCUCGAACAGGCUCUCCUCGUUGUGAUCUGAUCUUCACACUACUCGCUCGAUGUAUGAUGUUUGCUGCAUUUGUUUACAUGGUAGAGUGAUUGCUGCUUUGCUUGUUUGUGGAUGCAGUUUGGGAACUCAUUCAGUGGGUUGAGGCCUUGAGAUUCCUGGUAGAGAUGAUGGUGCGGAUGGGAAAGAUGGGAAGCUGACGUGGGUUCUUGGAUUGACAGCAAAUAAUGAUUACUAUGGUGUCAUAUGCCAAAUAAAUAUGGAGUUUAGUAUAGUCCUAUCUAUACUUCCGAAAAAAUAGACAACAUUCAUUUGCUUGAUUUUCAUUUUGUAUGGUGCUUAGAAUGUUACUAUACUCUAUAUUGUUAUGCUAAUUAAGCAAAAGUGGCAUUGACAGCCAGAAUAACAAUUUAUCUUU